AAAGUGUUCUUGUGCCUGAACAAUUAAAACUUUCAUAACUAUACAUUGUCCAUUAUAACUGACACAUUUAUACAUAGCAUCUGAAAAUUUUACAUUUGU